rnacentral:rRNA from 1 species
AUUGAACGCUGGCGGCAUGCUUUACACAUGCAAGUCGAACGGUAACAGGCCGCAAGGUGCUGACGAGUGGCGCACGGGUGAGUAAUGCAUCGGAACGUGCCCAGUCGUGGGGGAUAACUACUCGAAAGAGUAGCUAAUACCGCAUACGAUCUAUGGAUGAAAGCGGGGGACCGUAAGGCCUCGCGCGAUUGGAGCGGCCGAUGUCAGAUUAGGUAGUUGGUGGGGUAAAGGCUCACCAAGCCAACGAUCUGUAGCUGGUCUGAGAGGACGACCAGCCACACUGGGACUGAGACACGGCCCAGACUCCUACGGGAGGCAGCAGUGGGGAAUUUUGGACAAUGGGCGCAAGCCUGAUCCAGCAAUGCCGCGUGCAGGAAGAAGGCCUUCGGGUUGUAAACUGCUUUCGUACGGAACGAAACGGCUCUGGUUAAUACCCGGGGCUAAUGACGGUACCGUAAGAAUAAGCACCGGCUAACUACGUG